rnacentral:rRNA from 1 species
GGUUAAGCGACUAAGCGUACACGGUGGAUGCCCUGGCAGUCAGAGGCGAUGAAGGACGUGCUAAUCUGCGAUAAGCGCCGGUAAGGUGAUAUGAACCGUUAUAACCGGCGAUUUCCGAAUGGGGAAACCCAGUGUGAUUCGUCACACUAUCAUUAACUGAAUCCAUAGGUUAAUGAGGCGAACCGGGGGAACUGAAACAUCUAAGUACCCCGAGGAAAAGAAAUCAACCGAGAUUCCCCCAGUAGCGGCGAGCGAACGGGGAGGAGCCCAGAGCCUGAAUCAGCAUGUGUGUUAGUGGAAGCGUCUGGAAAGGCGCGCGAUACAGGGUGACAGCCCCGUACACAAAAGCGCACAUGCUGUGAGCUCGAUGAGUAGGGCGGGACACGUGGUAUCCUGUCUGAAUAUGGGGGGACCAUCCUCCAAGGCUAAAUACUCCUGACUGACCGAUAGUGAACCAGUACCGUGAGGGAAAGGCGAAAAGAACCCCGGCGAGGGGAGUGAAAAAGAACCUGAAACCGUGUACGUACAAGCAGUGGGAGCACCCUUUGGGGUGUGACUGCGUACCUUUUGUAUAAUGGGUCAGCGACUUAUAUUCUGUAGCAAGGUUAACCGUAUAGGGGAGCCGGAGGGAAACCGAGUCUUAACCGGGCGUUAAGUUGCAGGGUAUAGACCCGAAACCCGGUGAUCUAGCCAUGGGCAGGUUGAAGGUUGGGUAACACUAACUGGAGGACCGAACCGACUAAUGUUGAAAAAUUAGCGGAUGACCUGUGGCUGGGGGUGAAAGGCCAAUCAAACCGGGAGAUAGCUGGUUCUCCCCGAAAGCUAUUUAGGUAGCGCCUCGUGAAUUCAUCUCCGGGGGUAGAGCACUGUUUCGGCUAGGGGGCCAUCCCGGCUUACCAACCCGAUGCAAACUGCGAAUACCGGAGAAUGUUAUCACGGGAGACACACGGCGGGUGCUAACGUCCGUCGUGAAGAGGGAAACAACCCAGACCGCCAGCUAAGGUCCCAAAGUCAUGGUUAAGUGGGAAACGAUGUGGGAAGGCCCAGACAGCCAGGAUGUUGGCUUAGAAGCAGCCAUCAUUUAAAGAAAGCGUAAUAGCUCACUGGUCGAGUCGGCCUGCGCGGAAGAUGUAACGGGGCUAAACCAUGCACCGAAGCUGCGGCAGCGACACUGUGUGUUGUUGGGUAGGGGAGCGUUCUGUAAGCCUGUGAAGGUGUGUCGUGAGGCAUGCUGGAGGUAUCAGAAGUGCGAAUGCUGACAUAAGUAACGAUAAAGCGGGUGAAAAGCCCGCUCGCC